rnacentral:lncRNA from 1 species
CUUGGCAGCUGUCUGGGCGAGAGACGCAGCCAUGGGCUCCGUGCUUAGCAGCGAUAGCGGCAAAUCCGCCGCCGCCUCGGCCGCCCCGCGGGCCCUGGAGCGCAGGGGGGACCCGGAGCUGCCCGUCACGUCCUUCGACUGCUCCGUGUGCCUCGAGGUGUUGCACCAGCCCGUCCGGACCCGCUGUGGCCACGUGUAAGUGCCGGGGGAGCUCGGCUCGCGCGCCCACCCUGGAGAGGGAGAGGUUGGGGGAAGGCCAUGGGGGAUUUCAGGAGCCAGCGCUCGAAUGAAGCUACCGCAGGGAGACACCUGGACCCGUCGAGUGCGGGCCGCGGGAAAAAUGACCAGUCGGAAGGUGACACAGGAUUUCAGGAGGCGAAAACAUUAACAAGCGGGCUCUGCAGCGCCUCCCCCCAUCACCCCAGCUGCUUGUUCCCGGAGCCCAGGUGCAGAACCCCAGGGAUGGGGAUCCCAGGAGCGGGACCCUCCGGGAGCCGGGGCUUGCCAAGUGGGGAAAGUGCUGUUGGCUGGAGAGCCAGCACCCGCUUCGGCACAAGGCAGUGGGCUCCUGCAGAGCAUUUCUCCCGCUGAACUCAGUUAAUCGGGCCGUGCUUCCCCCUCGCCCUCCCCGCAGAACCCAGGUCGGUUUUGUUUUGCUGGCUUGUGCACGUGUUCUAGAACGCCCUCUGAGGCUAGCCUGUUGAGCAAACAAAGAUCUGAGCAAACUAUCCUUCCACCCCCACCUCCCUUUCCUAACACGGACAUUCAGGCCCCUGAAAGAUCAACCCAAACUGGAACGCCCAAGUGACUCUGUAGUCCUAACAGUUUAAGUACCUGUCAGGGCGGGGCUGGGAUUUGAACGUUAGCACGGAGCCCUGGAGUGUAGCCGUUUAAAAACCCAGCCACAAAGUGACGGGAGCUUGCAGACUACCCUCCCUUACGCAGCGCUUCCCUAAAUCGCCGGAAAGUAUAGAUAAAAAUAACGGUCUUAAAAACCAGGUACCAUGGAACUAAAACUUGCUGUUAGUUUCUAAGAAGAGUUUAAAAGCAAAAUCCCUAUGUAAAACGUGUGCUUGAGUAACUAGUAAUAGGAGUUGGAUCUGUGGAUUCGUUCACUCUGUUUACAUAGAAGCUUGCUUUCCGUGGCUGCCUGGGUGUGUGGCCGAGUGUGUGCCUGUUGGAGUCGGGGUGCGGGGAUGGGGGGUGGUUGCAGAGAGAGCGGAAGCCCGCUUCAUGUCUUUGGCCGGCCGUUUAUAGUUUGAUGAAGCUCCAAGGCAAUAAUACCCCAAUGGCUAGUUAAGUGUUUUUGGCUUACCAGGAAAAAAGUUACCAUAUUAUAAAUGCACGUGCACAAAAUGUUUUUAAAAGGACUGAGGUGGUCCUUGACACCUAUAGACCAGUAACUGAGAAGCAGUUUUCACCACUGAAAAGCCCAGUAGUGAGCCAAGGAAGAAAAAUGCAGCCCACACAGUGUUUUAAAUAAAGAGUGCCCUGGGCAUUAUUUUGUGGCUGCAUUUUCAGGGCCUGUUGUUUCAGCUUUGUACUUUAAACUCAAGUCUAAUUGACCUCCUGUCUGAUUACUGAUGUUGUUUCUCAGCUGUCCAGAUAUAGUUCAUUGACAUAAACCCCAAGGCCAAGAUGGAAGCCAAGAUAUUGUUGUGUGAGGGUAUAAUAUAUUGAUUAGCUCAGGGCAGUAAUAACCUUGUGGUAACUACAUUUAAAUGUAGCCUGAAUGAGCAUUAAAACUUUAAAGUUGCCCCAAAGAUACACAGUGGGUGUCAAGUCUUGAAGGUGUCUUUUGUAGAACUGAAUUGAAUUGGGUGACUUUGGUAUUGGAGAUUGUUAUCUGAUUGGGGAUAGUUUUCUAUCCACCCCCCCCUCCUUUUGGAGUUUGAAUACUAUAACUUACUGUUCGCAGGGUUUUGGUUCUGCUGAAGGAUAAUACAUAGGUGUAAAAAGUUAAAUCUUUUGUUUAAUCUUUUUCUUUGUUAGAGUUUGAAUAGGAAACCAGCAACUGGAAAAAUAGUCAUGAAGUAGCACAACAAGGGCUGGAGGAAUGGCCUUCCCUCACUUUUACUGUUCUUUGUUUUGACAAAUCUAUGUCCAUUGUUCUGGCUGUGGGCAGAAUUUCCAUAUUCCUCCCUUUGGCAAAUUUAGUUGGGCCCCUUCCACUUUCUAAAUGUUAACUCCAAUUCCUUCUGCACUGGAGACUGUGAGUGCUGUUAACACCAUUUGUAUUUCUGAAAUGAAUUACUCUCUUCCAUUGACCUUUGAUUGGAAAAUGAAGAAAUGCAGAUGAAACCUGUCUGUAUUAUCCCAUAUGGAAGCUAAUUUCCAAACUUUUUGAACUUGUUUGUGUAUGCUGAUUUCUGUUUAUAAACUGAUUUCAUAGAGGGCUCCUGGAUGGCUCAGUCCUUUAAGGGUGCCACUCUUGAUUUCAGCUCAGGUCUUGAUCUCAGGGUGUGAGUUCAAGCCCCACGUGGGGCUCCGUGCUGGGUGUGGAAGCCUACUUAAAAAAAAAAAAAUAAUAAUGAGUAAAAUAAAAUAAACCUAUUUCAAGUCAAGCAAGAUAUUAAUAAUGGCAAAAAUACAUUGAAUGAAUAUGUACAUAGCACUUUAUAAAUCGUAUUGUGAUGCAGUAGAAACAGUGGGCUUGAUUUGAAAUUCAGCCCUGCCACUGACCAGCAGUCUGACCACCACGUUGCUGAAUCUCUUUGACUGUUUCUUCAUUUGUAAAAUAGGGUGAAUAAUGGAAUUUUUAUGAAUUUUUAAGAAAUGUAAAAGUAGCUCAUCAUAAGGCCUCAAUACAGGAUUUCUAUUUCCUUUAAAGUCAUUCCACAAAGCAAGAACCCACGAACAGUAUUAUUUCUUAUCUUUAUAUUUCUUUUAGAAUAAAACUGGGCCAUAAAAGAUUGAUCUGUGACAUUUUCAAGAUGUCCCAGAUAGCCUUUCUUUUAGCUUAGUUCUUUUUCCUUUGGUGGCCUUGAAUUUAAGAAGUUCUAUUUUAAUGCUCUGUCAUUUCAAAUUGACUCUAUUCAUAUCUCUGUAUCAGUUGUUAAAACAUAUGUUGGGGGAAAGGUUUCCUACCUCUACUUUAUCUUCUACUAUCAGUGGGUGAGGGGGAGGGGGUAGAUGAGGAGGGGGCAGAUAAGUUGAAGCUGUAUAAAGGAAACUGAAAGGGAGUCUGGUUUAUAUUUAAAGUAAGUAUUCAAGGAAAUUUGUUGACCAGUUGGAUAUGAUAAAGGGGGGAGAAAGGGGUGGAAGGCAACUCCUUAGCAAGUAACAGAUAAAAGGGGACAGAGUUCAGCUCAGGAGGUUGUUAAUGAACAGGUGAUGGGGCUUGUUGAGCGUACAGUGGUCUGAGAGGGAAAUAUCCAAAUAGAAAUAUCCCAAAGGCACUGGGACAAUGGGUUUGGGGAAGGGUCAGAGCUGGAGCUAAGGGAGUUAUCUAAAAGAAUCAAGAGGUUGAGGGGUGCCUGGGUGGCUCAGUUGGUUAAGUGUCCGACUUCUUCCGCUCAGGUCAUGAUCUCACAGCUCAGCUCGUGGGUUCGAGCCCCACAUCAGGCUCUGUGCUGACAGCUCAGAGCCUGGAGCCUGCUUCGGAUUCUGUGGUCUCCCUCUCUCUCUCUGCCCGUUACCCCUUACUUGUGCUCUGUCUCUGUCUCUCUCAAAAAUAAAUAAAAGCAUUUAAAAAAAAAUUUUUUUUAAGUAUAUCCCUUGUCAUAUAGAGAUAGGUGUUAAGGAUAAAAAAAAUAGGCGAGGGAAUGGGAUGGGAAGUAUGUGGGAGAGAUGCAAUUUUAAAGAUAUUUAGAGCAGUGCUUCUCAAAUUAUCUGCUGUAAAGAACCACUGAGGUUUUGUUUGUUUUGUUGUGUUUUUCAGCCCAUCACUGACCAAUACUUUUAUAAAAUAAAAAACAUAUUAUGGGAAACUGAAAUUUAAAAAUACCAAAGAUACAUAAAACACAAGCCCUCAUUUUAAAAGUUAUUAAAUAUACUCAACAGACAUAAAAUUACUCUGUCAGAUUUCUAUACAAGCUUCUGAAAAUACUUCUCUCAAUUUCUAUACUUAAUUCAGCAUGAACUAUUAAUAAACAGGGUCUCAACAACCUUUUUUUGGAGGAAGUUAGAAGGUGAGGAAGGUAGUUCAGCUCGAGAAAAAUGUAAGGGGCAGUUGCAUGGGGUGUGGGACAUUUAUUUUAUUUUAUUUCUUAAAUGUUUACUUAUUUUUGAGAAAGAGAGAGUGCAAACAGGGGAGGUGCAGAGAGAAAAGGGGGGACAGAGGAUCCAAAGCAGGCUCUGCGCCAACAGCAGACAGCCCAAUGCCGGGCUUGAACUCUUGAACCAUGAGAUCAAGACCUGAGCUAAAGUUUGAUGCUCAACCAAUUGAGCCACCCAGGCGCCCCUAAAUGAGGAUUUUGAACAGAGUCAUGGCAUGAGCUGAUUUAAAAGGAUGACUCUGGCUGCUGUGUUGAGAAUGGACUGCAGUGGGAAGAGCAGGACCGGGAGAGUGAGUUAGGAGGCCACUGUAAUAAUCCAGCAAAGAGACCAGGACCAACCAGCAAGGGAACAGUGGAGGUGGUGAAUGGUGGAAUUUUAGAUCAGUAUGAAGGUGUAGCUAACAAGAUGGAUUCAAUGUGGAGUGUGGGAGGAAGUGAGGAGUCAAGGCUGAGUGUAAAGUGCUUGGCUUGAGCCAAGGUUGGGGUUGCCCUAAUUGAGAUAGGAAAGACUGGGAAGGUGGAAUGAGGAACAAGGUCAGGUCAGGCGUUCCAUAACUGACAGGCCAAGUUUGGGACAACCAAGAGAUGUUGCAUAGGCGAUUGGAUAUAUGAGUCUAGAGUUCAGAGGAAGAUCUGAACUGUAGAUAAAUGAAACUGGGAAUCAUAAACAUAUCCUUGAUAUAAAUCCAUGGGACUGGAUGAAUUUAUUGAGGAGUAAGUGUAGUCAGAAAAGAAUAGAGGUCCAAGGACUGAGCAGUGGUACGUACCAACAUUUGGAAGCUGAGACAUGAAAACCUGAAAAUCAGGGGCACAUAGGUGGCUCAGUCAGUUAAGCAUCCAACUCUUGGUCUCAGCUCAGGUCAUGAGCGCAUGGUUCAUGGGAUUGAGCCCCACAUUGGGCUCUGCACUGGCAGGGAGGAGCCUGCUUGGGAUUCUCUUUCUCCUUCCCUCUCUGCCCCUUCCUUGCUUGUGCAUGUGCGCUCUCUCUCUCUCUCUCUCAAAAUAAAUACAUAAACAUUAAAAGAGAGAGAGAGAGAGAGAGAGAGAGAGAGAGAGAGAGAAAACUUGUAAAAGAAGUAGCCAUAGGGGUAGGAAGGAAACCAUCUGGUGUCCUGGAGGCCAAGUGAGUGCAAGAAGCACUUUGGAGGGAAGAGGGAUCCAUUGAAUCUAGUGAUGCUUGAAGGUCUGGGGGAUGAAGAUUGAGAAUUGAUCACUGGAUUUAGUAAUGUGGAGGCUAUUGGUGACCUUGAGAAGAGCAGUUUCAGUGGAAUGGUAGGUGCCAAAGCCUAAUUAGAGUGGUUUGGUGAUCGAUCAUAGGCGCUAGAGGAAAGAAGCAUAGGAAUUCCUUUGUUGUAGUUGGGAGGCAAAGCGAAAGAGAGAAAUUGGGACAAUAACAGGAAGGAGAAGUGGCAUCAAGAGAGUUUUCUUAUAAGAGAAGAAAAAUGGUGUAUGCCACAUGGUUAUGGAAAUGAAUCAAUAGUGAGGGGGAAACUCAUUCAUGGGAGAGGAGAGAAUUUCAGAAGCAAUGCCCUGGAGUGGGAGGAAGGUGCUGGAAUUUACAAGCCCGGAUUGGGGAGUGGAGGGAGGAUUGGCCUUAGCUAGGAGAAUGGACAGUUUGUUCAUUUCACAGGAUGUAGAGCAUUAAAUGGGCGCAGAUGCAGGUGAAUUGAAGAAGUGGAAUAUUGUGGAAGUUCCUAACUGAUUGCCAAUUAUCAUUGACAUAUUAUUUGACCUGUGAUUUGACUUCAAGAUGAAACUUGGAAGUUUAAAUAUGAGCAUCCAGACCCCUGAUGUUAAAGCAAGCGUAUACAGAAUGAUUCCUCUUCCCCGUGUGCUUGGGUUAAGCAUCACUUAAAUUCAGGUGAUUAGAAUCUCUUGUACCAUCAAGGUCCAAACACUCUGGAGAGCCGUUGCUCUAAUAAAAGAAUGCUACUUCCUACAUUGCUGUUCCUUAAAAGUCUGGCACUUAGUGGAUGUUUAAUAUUAGUUGAAUUAAUGAAUGAGUCUAAAAUAAAAUGCAGAUUGAAUACUUUGGUGAAUGUCCCUCAGGCAGGAACAACCACUCUAUAGUGACAGCCAACGGAUGCUAUGUAGUUGAGUAACAGAUAGCAGUUCCAUCAUAGUUUUUGAACUCCAUUAUUUUUAUGAGGUUACUCAUCUGUCCCUGUAUUACUGAGAAUUUCAGAAAGAUGUGAUUAAGCUGGCCUGAAAUAUGCCUCCUCUGGUGGUUGGACUGCUCUGUGUUUACUUAGCAACAUUAGUAUUGUCAUAGGCAAAUUAAAUAUUAGUGAUCUGUUAAAUUAUGUAUUCUCUAACAAACAAAACCUAAAUAAUGUAGCAGAUUGAGUUUUAUGUCGAGAUUUUCCUCAGAACUUGGCUGCGGGCCCGUGGACCAGGAGCAUUGCAGAAUCUUGGGUCCCAUCUCACAUCUACUGAAUUGGGAACUGUUUUAAUAGGAUGUUUAGGUGAUUGAUAGCCAUGUUCAAGUUUGAAGCAUGGCUUUAGCCAACCCUAUUUAAUUGACAGUCAAAUACAGCAAGUUGAGGACAGCAUUUGAAGGUUAACGAGAGGCACCCCUCUAAGAUUUUAAGUUAAAAAAAAUAGAAUUUUUCUUUAGGGGGUUAAAUUUUAUUUAUUUAUAUUUUAAUGUUUAUUUAUUUUUGAGAGAGAGAGACAGAGCACAAGUUGGGAAGGGGCCGAGAGAGAGGGAGACGCAGAAUCCAAAGCAGGCUCCAGGCGGUAAGCACAGAGCCCGACGCGGGGCUUGAACCCACAAACUGUGAGAUCACAACCUGAUCAGAAGUCAGUUGCUUCACCGUCUAAGCCACCCAGGCUCCCCUAGGGGAUUAAAUUUUAAAUCAACACAUAAUGUGGUAUAGAGAUAUGCAGAGUCAGGUUUUGGAAGCUGAACCAUUCCCGGGAUGGACUUUGAGUGGAACCUAAUUGAAUACAUAAAUACAUCAAAGGAAAUCUUAGGGGCAGUGGGUGGCUGGAGGGUUUAUGCUCUAAGAAUAGCUGUACUCAGGCCUGUCCAGGCUGAUGCUUGUAGGUGAAGAGGGAGUGGGGGGUGUGUGGGUGUGUGUACGUGUUUAUUGCCCUACACUGGAAUGUUUUAGCCUAAGAUUCUUAUCACCUUGAAUAACAAUAGCAAUUCCCCUUAUUCUAUUCACAUUUUCAAGCUUACCAAGCCCGCUCAAGAUUUUCAUUCAGCUUCCCAUCGGCAUGCCCACAGUGAGGCAGCUUCUUAAGAACAGAAAUAAAAUGUUAGAUCUACCUCAUGUUGCCAGUGGCUCUUCCAGAGUCCCAUUUGGGACGAUGUCUGGAUACUUCUUUUGCCUGUUUACCCUUAGACCCCAUGGAGUCCCUAAUGCACCCCUUCCCUCCUUACUAUACAUAGGGUUCAGUUUUACCUCUUGAGAUUGGGUACAUAAUUGUACCCGGUGUCCUCAGCAAGCCUUUCCUUAGUUUUCUACAAUGCUUUGCUGACCUCUUCAUUAUAAGGGUCUUAUUGAUAAUCACGUAAUUUCAGGAAACAGCAAGGAGUUAAUAAAAUAACUCUUGGGAGCAGGGUAUUUAAGUUUCCAUCUGGUUUCAGAGAUCUUAGAGUCAUUUCCAUAUGAAUGAAUCCAUAAUUCAUUUCUUCAGGAGCUGCAAACAACAAGUGAUGUAAAUGAAUGUGGAGGGUGAGUACUCCACAGGAUGGGGGCAUUAGCCCACAUGACCACAGGGGAAUUGAGUCCAGACUUGGAGGAGACUAGCUUUUCACGAAAAGUCAGAAAUUUGGGUUUAGUUGUAAGAUCUGAUUUUAAAGCAAUGGCAACUCCCUCAGAAUUUUUAAAAAAUAUUUAUUUAUUUUUAGGAGAGCGCAAAUGGGGAGGGUCAGAGAGAAGGGGACAGAGGAUCCCAAGCAGGCUCUGCACUGACAGGCUGACAGCAGCGAGCCCUGUGUGGGGCUUGAACUCACGAACCGCGAGAUCAUGACCUGAGCCCAAGUCGGACGCUCAACUGGCUGAGCCACCCAGGCGCCCCUCACUCAGAAUUUUUGAAAACAUUGAAGUAGUUUUAAAAAAAAAUACAAUGCCUUCUAUCCUUAGCUUCUGUCUUUCAUCCAAUUUCUCUUCAUUCUGAUUAUGUCUUUUAUGAUUGAUCAUUCUCAACCACCUUAUGAAGGUGGGGAGGGGGCAGACAAAUAGGAAUCGCUUAUUGUGUUCAUUUCUAUCCCUUGGGUUCUUUCAGAAGGAUACAACAGUGUUAUUGAUGGGAAUGUUGGGCCCUGCCCAGAAAAUUCUCCUUUGAUCCAUUCCUCAUAAGUGAUUUAGUUAUUUCAGUUUACUGAGUAGCUACUAUGUGCCUGGGGUGGGGUAGGAAGGAGGCCUGCAAGAUUCUGAAUGGUUCUCGGGCGCCUGGGUGGCUCAGUCGGUUGAGCGUCCAACUUUGGCUCGGGUCAUGAUCUCACAGUUUGUGAAUUCGAGCCCCGCAUCAGGCUCUGUGCUGACCGCUUGCUCAGAGCCUGGAACCUGCUUCAGAUUCUGUGUCUCCUUCUCUCUCUGCCCCUCCCCCGCUCACGCUUUGUCUCACUCUGUUUCUCAAAAAUAAAUCAAUGUAAAAAAAUUUUUUUUUUAAAAAGGAUUUUGAAUGGUUCUGAGCCGUAUGUAUUUCGGUGCUCUUCUUAAUGCAAUGUUGUUGUUUCCAGUCUAUUGUCCCUGGGGCAUUUAAAAAAAAUUUUUUUUAAUGUUUAUUUAUUCUUUGAGAAAGAGAGAGAGCAUUAACGGGGAGGGACAGAGAGAGGGAGACACAGAAGCAGGCUCCAGGCUCCCAGCUGUCAGCAGAGAGUCCGACGCGGGGCUCAAACCCAUGAAACACGAGAUCAUGACCCAAGCCAAAGUCAGAAGCCCAACCGACUGAGCCACCCAGGCGUGCCAUCACUGGGGCAUUUUUGUUUUGUUGUGUUGUUUUUCAGUUUUAUUGAGGUGAUACAGUACAAUUCACACAGUGUACAAGUUGAUGGAUUUUGGUAGUUAUCUACAAUCCUAUAACUACCUCCACAAACAAGACCUAGUACAGUUAAUUACAUUACCCUAAAAAGUUCCUUCAAAUUCUUUUUUUUUAAACAUUUUUGUUAAAAUUUUUAUUUAUUUUUGAGAGAGAGAGAGAGUGCAAGCAGGGGAGGGGCAGAGAGAAGAAGACAGAGGAUCUGAAGGACUCCAAGAUGGCAGCAGAGAGCCCAAUGUGGGGCUCGAACUCAUGAACUGUAAGAUCAUGACUUGAGCUGAAGUCGGAUACUUAGCUGACUGAGUCACCCACGUCCCCCUCCUUCACCUUGUUUGUAGACAACUCUCUUCCCAAACCCCUGGCUCCAACAACCCCAUCUGCUUUCUGUAACUACGUUUUGGGAUCCUACAAUAAGUACUCUUUUGUGUUUGACUCAUUUUACUUAUUAUAAUAGGGCAUAUAUUUGUUGUCAUUUGGUAUGUCAUAAGUCCCUUUGCCUCACUUCCAAAAUAAAUUCUGAAUCUGUCCGCUUACACUGUCUAUUGCCUUUUUGCUGGUCUAAGCCAUCCCCCUCUCUUGAACUUACUCUUCCAAUGACUUAAACCUAAGCUCCUCACUCUUAGGAGGCUCUUGUACCUCUGUAAUCUGUUCUUCAGGGACCCCAAGUGAUCUAUAUAAUGUAAGUCAAAUUGCAUCACCCUCCUUCUUAAAACCCUCCAGUGCCUUCCGAUGACCCUUAGUUAUGGCUUUAUGGUCGUCUCCUGACCCUUUACUCCCCUUUCCCAUAUCUCCAGGUAUUCUCCCUGGGACUUCCUGCCUUUCAAGCAUGCUGGCUUUCUAUACCUCAGCAACGUCGUCCCUGUCUUUUGUACUCUUUGUUUUCAGCUUGGAAAACCAUUCCCAGAUCUUCCUUAGAGUGGUGCCUUCAAGUAUCAUCUCAGGGACCACCCAUCUAAAUGCUCUCUCUGCCCCACUCAAUUUUUAUUGUCAACUGUUUUCUUCUCGAAGCAUUUAUCAUUUGCCGGUCUAUUUGUUUACCUGCUUAUUGCCUCUCUCCCAUUUCUAGAACUCUGAGAGCAGGGACCUUCGGCACUGCCACGAUUUCAUCUCGAACACUAACUGACAAUAGUAAGCAAUUACUAAAAAUGUCACCAGUGCAUGAAUGUUUGUAUGGGUGGGUCUAGGGAGGUUUGUGCAGAUUUAUGCAUUCUCUCAUAAAGUCUUCUGUAUAACCAUGGAUUAACUUUUCUUGCUAAAAGCGAUGGUUAUAAAAAUUCCUUAUGGAAUUUUCUCUCUUCAACCUUUUAUUGUAUUCCAAAUUGUUUUGCGCUCUUUAAAUUUAUUUAAGUAGGACACCUGGGUGGCUCAGUUGGUUAAGCGUCCAACUCUUGAUUUUGGCUCAGGUCAUGAUCUCACGGUUCGUGAGACUGAGCCCCAUAUCAGGCUCUAAGCUAGUAGCAAGGAGCCUGUGAGCCUGCUUGGGAUUCACUCUCCCUCUCUCUCUGCUCCUCCUCCCCGCUCAUGUGCAUUUGUGCACGCACACACGUACUCUCAAAAUAAAUAAACUUAAAGAAAUUUAUUUAAGUAGGCAUAAAUGCAGCAUAAUCUUUUCUUCAGAUGGAAUUUGGAUGUCCUUAAAAAAUAUUUUUAAAAAUAUUUUUUUCGGGGCGCCUGGGUGGCUCAGUCGGUUGGGCAUCUGACUUCGGCUCAGGUCGUGAUCUCGCGGUCUGUGAGUUCGAGCCCCGCAUUAGGCUCUGUGCUGUCAGUUCGGAUCCUGGAGCCUGCUUCAGAUUCUGUGUCUCCCUCUCUCUCUGCCCCUCCCCACUCGUGCUCUGUCUCUCUCUGUCAAAAAAAAAAAAAAAAAGAAUAAACGUUAAAAAAAAAAUUUUUUUUUUAAUGUUUUUCUCUUCAUGUUCCAUUAAACAUUUCAGGUUUCUCAUCCUCCAAAAAUUUCCCUUCCUAAAUUUACAGCUAACUUUUUCUCAGGAGUGAACAAACUUUAAGUCAUAGUAAGAUGGUUAAUUUUCCCUAACGUUUUUUCCCCUAACGUUUUAUUAUGAAGAACUUCACACCUACAGCUAAAUUGGAAGAAAUCGUACAGUGAACACCUAGAUAUCCACCAACUAGAUUCUACAAUUGUUAAUUUUGUUAUGUUGCUUUUAUCUCAUUUUAUCACAUACCUAUCCAUCAUUGAUCCACCUUACUUUUGGAUACAUUUCAGAGUAGAUUACAGUAAUCAGCACACUCAAUUCCUUCUUCUCUCAACAUACAUAGUACUAACCAGACUUCAGUAUUUGCUUAUGUUUUUUCGGGGUAAAUUACACCUGCGGUGAAAUGAAUACCUCCUAGAUAUAACCCCUAUUGAGGUACAGAAAUGUUUGUUACCUCCAGAUAGUUCCCUCAUGUCCACAUAUCGCCAGCCGAUCCCUGUCCAUGUAUCCCCCAUGGGCAACCAUUGUUGUGAGUUUUUUCCUAUCCCAUACAUCAGUUUUGCCAGUUUUAGGACUUCAUAUAAGUAGAGUUUAUACAGGAUGUGCUCUGUUGUGUCAGGCUUCUUUCUCUCAGUAUAUCUUUUUUUUUUUUUUAAUGUUUAUUUAUUUUGAGAGAGAGUGAGUAUGCGCAUGGGGAGGGCCAGAGAGAGAGGGAGACAGAGAAUCCCAAGUAAGCUCCAUACUGUCGGCACAGAGCCCACCUCGGGACUGGAUCCCACAAACUGUGAGAUCAUCACCGGAGCUGAAAUCAAGAGUCAGACGCUUAACCCACUGAGCCACCCGGGCACUCCUCACUUGGUAUGCCUUUGAGAUUCAUCCAUAUUGCUGUGUGUAUUGUAAUUUGUUGUUGUCUAGUACUCCAUUGGGGGAAUAUGCCUCAGUUUGUUUAUUCAUUUUCUUGUUGCUGACACCUGGGUUAUUUCAAGUUUGGGGCUGUUAUGAAAACAUUCCUUAUUAAUAUUCUUGUACAAAUAGACAUAUGUUUUCACUUCUUUUGAGUGAAAACGUGGGCUUGGUAUUGCAGGACCAAAGGGUGCCUAUAUAUUUUGUUUUCUAAAAAACUACCAGACCAUUUAUCCUGAAUGAUUAUAAUUGAUUAACUUUUUUAAAGAAUCAUUUAUUGUGUAGGUAAUAUGGUUAUAGGGUUAAACUUGAAAUUCGACGAUGAAAAUCUCCUCCUUCUACCACAUACUCACCUCUUCUUUCCAGUUCCCAUUUCUCCAAUGGGUAGGUAAAUGUUCUUUUUUUUUUUUUAUCCUUCUAGAUGCUUUUAUACAUCUACAAAUUAUAAAUAGCUUAUACUAUAUACAUAGUUCUACACUUUGCUUUCCAAGAGGUUGCAUUUUUGAGUUAUCUUGCUUUUGUGCCUUGUUACAUAGCUUAUAUAUAUACACACAUUACCUAAACCUGAAUAUCCCCAUAUGGAUUCUAAUUAGAUAACUCAUAUAAUGCUUGAUCACUUGUAUACUUCUUAUGCUAAUGCACUAGAGUAAGGAUAUUAAAUUCUCCAGUUCACAAGAUUUGAAUUUGAUAACUGUACCUUUAAGGGGAGAAUUUUAACCUCAGAUUUAAAAAAAUUUUUUUUUAAGUUUUUAUUUAUCUUAGAGAGAGAAUGAGAAUGCUUCUGGAGAGCUGGGGAUGGACUGGGGAGGGGCAGAGAAAGAGGGAGAGAAAGAAUCCAAAGCGGGCUCCAAGCUGUCAGCGCAGAGCCCAAUGGCUAACUAACCGCUAACCUCAGACUUUUUUGAACUAAGUAGUUCUGCAAUCUUAUUUCUGCACUCUAAACAUGAGACUUAAGUUGCAGUGGGAUCAAGUUCAUUUCCUUAUUGGUAACACUUUAAAAACUCGUGGUUUUUAUGUACUCAAAACCAGCAAGGUCAGUUUGUUCCAAAACACUUUAGCCUUGAUGUGUGUUCUCCAUUUAAUAAUCACUUUUGUUAAGAUGAGGACAACUAAUUGACUGACCUACCAGAUUUGCAACGAAUAUUCUCUCAUAUAAUGCAAUAACGUCGAUGUAUGCUCAUUUGAGAGUUUCCUGCCACGUCUAUCAUUGUGUAAAAAUAAUGUAGGGGAAUUAUAGUUGAGGGACUUGGUUUCUUUUAAUGCCUGAAGUGUGCUACUUUUCAUGAAUAUCUCCUAGGCAUUUCCAUUGUAGUUAUCAGUUGUAGUUACAAAAACACUUGCAAGACCCACAAAAUGACCAUAGAAAUGUACUCUGUAAAGCCCACUGGUUUAUACGAGUACACCCACAGUCUCAAAGUGUUGCUGCUUCUGCUGGUCACUGGGAGGAACUGAGAUGACUUAAAAAGGACUACAGCUCUUUAUUGACUCACAUGGGGUUUGUUCUGGUAAAGCCAUCCUAAAUUAAAGUAAGUCGAAAAUGCAUUUAAUACACCUGACGUAUUAAACCUCAUAGCUUAGCCUAGCCUGUAGCCUACCCAAAUAUGAUCAGAACGCUUACAUUAGCCCACAGUUGGGCAAAAUCGUCUAAUACAAAGCCUGUUUCAUAAGUGUUGAAUAUUUCCUAUGAUUAUUGACUGCUGUACUAAAAGUGCAAAACAGAAUGGUCAUGUGGGUGUAGGAUGGUUUUAAGUGUAUUGGUUGUUUCCCUGAGUGACUGACUGGGAGGGCCCGGCAUUGUAAGAGAGCAUCAUACUGCAUAUUCCUAGCCCAGGAAAAGAUCACAAUUCGAAAUCUGAAGUAUAGUUUCUACUGAAUGAGUAUCGCCUUUGCAUCACUAUAGUCAAACAACCGUAAGUGGAACCACUGUAAGUUGAAGACCUUCUACACAGACUUUUGAGCCCCGACCAAAACUACCUGGGGUUCAGGGUGUGUAAACUUGGCAAGUUACACCUCUGUGAACAACCUCAGUUUGCCUCCAGUCAAGUGAGGAAAAGGCAGAGCAGCAUUUUAGGGUUACUCUGGGAGCUAGGUGAGAUCAUGUCUAUUAGGGUCCACCACAGGGCAGGGCACCAAUAUUAGUCUUCUGUUUGUCUUGGUAUAAAACUCAAGUGAGUUGUGAGGAAAGGGGAAGGUUUUUAGUUGACUAAAAACAAAAACAAAGUAUCAUCCGCUUGUUCCUAAAUUAAACGAACCGAAGGUAUUGUGUCAGAAGUAUAACUUGAGCAUAUGGACCACUUGAAAUAAAUACCCUUCAAAAGUACACUCUGAGAACCACUUCUUGGGAACUCAAAGAAGUGCAAGGGCAGAAUGUGCCUUACAACGUGCAGUUAAUCACCUGUUAAUCACCUGAAGCUCAGAGAAGGAAAAUACAGCAGAGGACUUCGAUCUCUUGAUUCUGGUAGGAAUUUCUCUUGAAAGAACAGUUACUGAAUUUUGAGUCGGAAAACCCAGCUUAAGACCAACCAAGUUCAGGUACUUUCUACAGUUGUGACCUUGCAGAAGUAACUUAACCCUGAUGUGCCUCAAUUUCCUCUUCUAGAAGUGGCAAUAGUGAUCUUUCCUAGGGGUUUGUUAAGGUCAAAUGAAUUAAGGCACUUGGAAGUGUUUUAAAGUUUGUUAAAAAUAAAAAACAAAAGGGGCGCCUGGGUGGCUCAGUUGGUUAAGUGUUUGACUUUGGCUCAGGUCAUGAUCUCACUGUUCGUAGGUCCGGGCCCUGUGUCGGGCUCUGUGCUGACCGCUCAGAGCCUGCAACCUGCUUCAGAUUUUGUGUCUCUGUCUCUCUGUGCCCCUUCCCCGCUCGUGCUCUGUCUCCCUCUGUCUGCAAAAUAAAUAAAACAUUAAAAAAUUAAAAAAAACCACCAGUGUACGAAGUUUAAAGUUACUUCGAAUAAAAAGUUACUAAACAACAAUAAAAGCAAACCAUCUAGGAAAAAAGAAAGGGUAGGGAUCUAGACAGAUCUGGGAUUCCAAAUAAAGAGCAGGACAAUCCCAUCAAGUUGUUGCUGAAUCGGUCUUUAUGUCAGUCUGUUUAGUGUUCAUCUUCUAGAGAGAGGGUUUACUGAGUCUGGCCCAUUCCAGGUGCUCUUGUCUUCAGCAGGGGAUUGUGGGCACCUUGACUGAGGUCCCACCAGAUUGUGUCUAAGAGGUGUAGUUCCUGCACAGCAAAAUCAGGAUGCUGUUGCAAGAAAGAGGAAAUGGAUGUUGGACAGGCAUAAACAUCAAGCAAAUGCCUCAAGAACAAUGCAAAUGUCAGCAUCCUUUGUGUGCAUAUAACAAUUAAAAAAAUACUUUUAAAUGUUUAUUUAUUUUUGAGAGAGAGAGAGAGAGAAAGCGAGCGGCAGAGAGAGGGUCAGAGAGCAAGGGAGACACAGAGUCUGAAGCAGGCUCCAGGCCCUGAGUUGUCAGCAGAGAGCUGGACACGGGGCUCAAACUCACGACCUGCAAUAUCAUGACCUGAGCCAAAGUUGGACACUCAACCGACUGAGCCACCCAGGUGCCCAGACAUUACGAUUAGUUUAUCAGAAUAAUAACAUGUAUGGUAUUUUGCCUCCUUGACUUCUUGCUACUUUCUUCUCUAACAUACAAAAUCCCACAGAGCAAAGACCUAUUUUCUCCCCGAAUUCCCCCCCAGAAUUAAAGAAAAGAAAGAACACAUUAAGUAUCCUUUGGGUUAUGGUUUUCAUUCUGUUUAUGGGAAUUCUAUUCCACUACUUUGUGUUCUUUUGUUUCAGUGCAUGCAGUGCAUGAAGUGAGUUGUGACUCCAAAGAAGUCUCAUGUGAAAGCAAGAGACUGUCUGCCAAGCAGGGGAUGCAAAUGCACAUUGCAUUUGGUAGUACAGCUCCUAGCGUGCAAGGUGCCGUGAAAAUACAGUGUGCACAAACAAACACAGAGUGGUGGCUCCUUUAUACCUUUUCAGGAGAGUGAUGUAUUCUUGGUUUCUUCUGGGUAGAUUCUGCCGUUCCUGUAUCGCUACCAGUCUAAAGAACAAUAAAUGGACCUGCCCUUAUUGCCGGGCAUAUCUUCCUUCAGAAGGAGUUCCAGCAACUGAUGUAGCCAGAAGAAUGAAAUCAGAGUACCAGAACUGCGCUGAGUGUGACAGCCUGGUAAGUGGCCCUCUGCCUGUGCUCACGGUUCCCGGCUUGGACUGCUGAGGAAAUUGUUACGCAGCUGAUCAUUUCACCCAUGCCUCUGCCUUCAUCCUACCCUGACUUUCUAAAGUUUAUUGUCUCUGCCUCUCCCCUUCCUUCUCUCUGUUCUCAUAUGUGUAGGCUGUGGUGCAAUUGGCCCCUGACUCCUACCAUCACCUAAUUUUUCAGACAAAUGCUUUCACCCACCGCUUCCAUUUCCUCCCUUCCCGUCGGUCCUGUGACCUCCUCCGCCCCCAUCAUGUUGCCUACUGGCAUAAUUCCAGUGGCAUAUUUCCUCCUGUAUUCUGGACUUUGCAGUGUUUCUCUCCGUUGAUCACAUCUUUCUGCGGGUUUCCUACUAGCCUGGUUAGAUCAUGUGAGGUGUCAAAGACCAUGGGAAGAUUCUAGAUUUUAUCCUAAAUGCAGUAGUGAGUCACUGAGUGUAAGCUUUCGAUCAGGUUCAUAUUUUUAAGAUAUUGCUCUGGCAUGUGGGCGCAGAAUGAUUUGGAGGGGGCACAUCAGGAUUGGUGAAGCCAGUUCAGUGGCUAAGGAUGGCUAAGGUAAGAAAGGUGGGUUAGGGCGAGAGCGUUAGACAAGGAUAAAGGAUUGUUUCGAGGGGUGUUUAGGAGAGACAGUGGAAGGAAAUCGGUAACUGACUGGAUGUGGGGGUGAGUGAGAAUAUAAAGUGUCAGAAGAAUCCUCCCAGGUUUCUGACAUGCGUAGGUGAAGGUGCUGAUAUAGAGAGCAAAUUUGGAGAAGAAUCCACAGAGUUUUAAAUAUGUUACAUUUGAACUGCUAAGGGGGGGAUAAUUAUUAUAUGAAGUCUAGAGAUCAAAAGAGAGAUUACGUGCUGAGGAUCUGAAUUUUUUAGAGAACCUUUCUUGAUUGUUAAUCUAUGUUAUGUUUUCUUAGUACCCUAUGCUUUCUCUUUGUACUAUUCAUCACCAUUUGGAAUUAUGCUUUUGGGAUUUUUUAAUAUAAUGUCAGUUAUCCCCACCAGAUUUGAUUUCCAUGAGGGUAAAGGACUGUCUAUUUUAUUGGCAACUGCGUACCCAGCACUUUGAAGAGUGACUGGUGCACAGUGCUUAAUAUAUUUUUUUGAAUAUUUAUGUAAGACUCCAUAAUCUGUUCAUGGCUGUCUGACUACAGAAUGUAUGCAUGGUCUUUGGAGUCAGACAUCCUGGGAUCAAACACGAAUUCUGUCAUUCAUUGUUUGUGAUUUGGGGACGUCAUCAUCUAAGUAUGAGUUCAUCUUUUUGUAAAAUGAGGGAAAAGAUAGUGUUCAUGAGGUGCCUAAGUGGCUCAGUCAGUUAAGGGUCCUACUCUUGAUCUCAGCUUAGGUCUUCUUGACCUCAGGGUCAUGAGUUUGAGCCCCUCAUUGGGCUCUGUGCUGGGUAUGAAUCCUACUUAAAAAAAAAAAAAAAGAUAGUGUUCAUGCCAUGGGAUGGUUGUAAGGGAAAAUGAUAAAACAUGUAUGGCUUUUAACACUGUCUGGAACAUGGUAAAUGCUCAAAAUCAAUAGCUUUUAAUAUUUAUAAUAAUAGAUUAUUGCUUAUUUUUACUUUGAUAUGUUUUGUCAUCAUAUAAAAUUCAACAUGCACAACUCCAACUCACUGUAGUAUUCUGUCAUCUAGUUUUUAUCCCACCUUUGGUGUCUAUCAGAAACAAGAAUAUUCUCUCAAUUAUCCUGAAUAGAAAUCCCCUUCCUUUUUUCACCCCUUAUAUCUGAUUAUUCACAAGUAUUUUGAUUUUUCCUUUGAGGUAUUUCUUACAACUGUCACUUCUUUUUUUUUUUAAUUUUUUUAAAUGUGUUUUCAUUUUUUUGAGAGACAGAGCACAAGCAGGGGAGGGGCAGAGAGAGUGAGAAACACAGAAUCUGAAGCAGGCUCCAUGCUGACAGCACAGAGCCCAAUGCGGGACUCGAACCUAUGAACCAUGAGAUUAUGACUUGAACCAAAGUCAGACACUCAACCAACUGAGACACCCAAGUGCCCCUCUGUCUCUUCCUUUUUAUGUUAUUCCUCUUGCCAGGGAUAUUGCCAUUCCUUCUUUAAAGUUUAUUCUUUACUUUGAAAGAGAGAGAGAGACAGAGAGAGAGAGAGAAAACCAGCUGGGGAGGGGCAGAAAGAGGUGGGGGACAGAGGAUUCGAAGCAGAGAUCUCAAUGCUGAGCUUGAACUCACGAGCUACAAGAUUGACCUGAGCCAAAGUCAGACACUUAACUGACUGAGCCACCCAGGCGCCCCACCUUCUAGAGCCAUUUUAGACUCUACCUAUUCUUCAGAGUCACGGCCAGAUUUCCAUUUCAGAGGCCUGGCCUUAGUAUUGGAGUCCCCAGUAUCAAACAGUUUCCUAUCUACUUGUCUACAUGUGGUUUUGCCCCCUUCUAUUAGAUUAUAAGCACCUAUAGAGCAAGCGCAGUGGCUUGCCAUCUCUUACAAUGUCUUCUACAAUUUUGUGUCUAGAGUAGACACUCCAUGAAUUUAUCAAUUCCUUUGUCAGUAUACAGUCCCCAAAUUUCUAAUUUGUAUGAAGAAUGUUUAUCUUUGUUGUUCAAGAAAUACAAAGGAAGAACUUUUAACAAAAGUAAUAACGAGAUGUGAGAGAAUUGACGUAUAAAGUUGGUUGUUAAAAGUUGGAAAACAAUGUUUUGACAGCUACCUCAAUCGGUCCUACUUUGUACAUCUUUUAGGUGGAUAUGUGUAAAACAAGGAUAUGUUUUCACUUUUCCACUUGCUUUUGUUUUUGUCUUUUGUUAAGCAAUUAUAACAGUUUCCUUACACGUUAGAUUUCAUGUUUGAGGUUUAACUUCCGUAGUUUGAGUGAAACGAAGCAGGGUGGGUCGACCACCUUACCACAGCAGUACAAAGCUUCUUUUAGCACAAGAUCUUAUCAGUUUCUAAUGAAACAUUUAGUAGAAUAUGUGUUAUUUAGCCACAGACAGCCUCAUGGUUAGGAUCUCUGAAUGUAUAUCUGGAGGAACAAGGGCUCUUUAUUCUGCCUUGGUAAAAAUGGACUGUAAGAACUGUCUUUUAUGUUUGCUCUUAAUGGGGCCAUUAAGUAUACUGUGUAUUGUGAAUUCAUGUAAUACCAUUGGAUAUAUUAUAAAACUGUGGUAUUUAUAUCUUUCCCUGAGGGACAGGAUUUCCUUUACUUACUAUGACCGUCUUUAAAAUUAAAAUCCAUCUUUUGGCUCUUUUUAUCUGUCAUGGUUUUCCUUUCCCUCUGUCUCUUUUUACUGUUUUCUUUUUUCUUUCCUCCACCUUGCUCUCUUUUUCCUCUCCCCUUUUUCUUUCUUACUUCUUAACCGUCACCAGAUUAGGUAAUGGCAUCCAAAAAAAGUAAAUUUGAGUUAAUAAAUGUCUUUCCACUUUAAAAAACAUAUGCUUUCUGGAAGAACCAAAUUCAAGAACUCAACAUUUGGGUCUUUGAAGUAUUAGAGAAAUUUCUAAAGUGUUAUUUGUGAUAAUGCCUUAACUUUGUUGUGCUGUUGUCAUGAAUGCAUCCUUUUAAUCAACUGACCCCACACUAUAUAUGAUCUUAUUUGAAAUAAUGAAAGUAAUAAAGCUGGAUCAUAAGACUUCAUUGAGCCCCUUUGCAACAGGCAAUUUAUUUUGAAUUUGCUUUUAUAUAGGUUUGCCUCAGCGAAAUGAGGGCACACAUAAGAUCUUGUCAGAAGUAUAUAGAUAAGUAUGGACCACUGCAAGAACUUGGGGAGACGGCAACAAGGUUUGUUUCAGCACAACAUAGUUGAAUGCUAAAUUUGAUAUGCUUGGGAGAGAAGUUAAUAGGCUGGAACAGUUAACUGUUUUAUUGUGAAAAUAUGUAUGGAGUGUGUUUAGGCUCUGAACCAUAACACCUCCUAUUGGUAAUCAUUUUACAAAAGAAUUUUGCUUUCUGUACUUGAAAAACUUUGCAUGGGGGUACCAACCAAGCACUGGAGAGAUUGGAAGAACUUCCUCAGACAAGUUUGUAUUAAGGAAGAUCCAAAACUAAAACAUGGAACUGUUUUAAGUUCCUCACGGCUCUAUUUUCUGACUAAUAGAUUGACGUAGAUCCUGGAUUCUUUUUCACUCUUCCACUGCCAUUGCUCAGUGCCCCAGCUCGUUUCCUCUUGUGUUGCUGGUUUGUCUUUAGAAGGGAGGAAGUGACACCUCAGUAUAUAGUCUAACAAGGAAGAACAGGUCUGGGGCAGGCAUCUUUUUUGUGGGUAAUCUUAUGGGGCUGGGGGAAGGAUGGAAAUAGUUAGUAGGGGCAAUGAAGAAUAGUGAUCAUUAUUAUUUUUUCCUUUAAAAAAAGAGAAAUGAAUCUGAGCCAUUACUCUCUUGAUGGGCAGAGUAAUUACAAAGGUUGGAGUCUCUCCCUACCAAAAAAAUAUGGAAAUGAUUUGUGUUUUCCUGCAUGGGCUGAUGGCUUUGAAACCAUUAAUCUAAGUAUGAGCUCAGUUAUGAAUAGUGAUAUUCAGUAGGAGUGUGACUUUUUUUCCCUCUCCUGAAGGAAAAUGUAGUUUUACUUAUUUUAAGAAAAUGCACUGAAAGCUCAAAUUUCCUAACCUGAAAGUCUAGAUGAUUGCCCCCUUCCUUUGUUUUACUAGAGAUUGCUUUGCAAAUGUAUCCAUUUACUGUAGGGUUAGUUUUAUACCAUGAUGUUAUAAAUUUUAAAUGAGUAUUUUAGCUCAAAGGAGAGUAUGAAUUCUAUUAGCUUGGUUGCAAGGACCAGUAGGAAGGAAGGACAAUAAAUGGGUUAAGAAAAUGUAUGCGUUUGAUUGCAAGGUUGUUAGCUUUUAUAAAAAUAUAAAAAUAUAUCCAGGCUAAUUUAAAUCCUAAUUUCUUCUGCUAGUUAGAAUUAAGUAAUAAACAAAAUAAUAGAAACUGAGGAGGGUUGUUGAUUAAUCAGUCUUCUAGGAUGGAGUAAGAUUUGCAUUUAAGAUAGAAAUCUUUGCUUCAUAGAAGAACUUAACUGCUGCAUGAUUCAAAUUUUUAAAAUUCUUAAGGGUAUAAGUCUUAGGGAACAGGAAGUUAUAUCUAUGAUAGAAAGCGAGCAAAAAAUUUCAAGCCUCCAUAUUGUACCUAUGCGUUUAAGGCAGCACUGUCCAAUAGAACACAUAUGUGAGUUUAUGUUUUCUAAUAGCCACACUAAAAAGGCAAUAAGAAACAGCAAAAUUAAUUUUUAGUGUAUUUUAUUUAACCAAAGAUAGCUUAAGUGUUACCAUUUGAACAUGUAAUCAAUAUAAACAUUUUUGAGAUAUUUUGCUUUUUUUUAUAUUAAGCGUUUGAAACUCAGUGCAUUUUGUACUUCCAGCAUCACUCAAUUUCAAUAGCCACAUUUUAAGUGACAACAGACGUAUAUGGCUAAUAGCUACUGUACUGGACAGCACGGACGUAAAGGUCAAAUACUCCUUAUAGUCACCUGUAGUAAUAUGCUGGUGGGGCUGAAGAACAAACAACACCCAGUUAUGUUUCCUGAAUUAGGAGAGGGAGGAAGAGAAAGAGAAAAAGUAACCCAGGGACAGCUGGGUGACGUGGUCCCGGUUUGUCAGUUAAUGGGUGCUCAGACUGCACUUCUCUUCCAGAGAGAAUAAAGUGCUUCACGUGCUGCUCUAGCCGUUUCUCCGCGGUGGCCCUGGGAGGAUACUUAACUUUUCUCCAUGAGAAAAAGCAUAGGCAUCUGACCAUUAUCAAGAUCAGAAAAAUAAUGUCAAAUCUGGAAGUUUCCAGAACAAGGGCUGGAAACUAGAUCCGCCUACGUUCUAUUGCUUAGCUCUAGUUAAAUGCUAGCAAUUUUAGUCAUUUUUGUAUUCUGUGCAAUUUCCAGGUGUGUGUGUCCAUUUUGUCAGAGGGAACUGGAUGAAGACAGCUUGCUGGAUCACUGUAUCACUCAUCACAGAUCAGAAAGGAGAUCCGUGGU